AGAGUUUGAUCCUGGCUCAGAAUCAACGCUGGCGGCGUGCCUAACACAUGCAAGUCGCACGAGAAAGGGACUUCGGUCCUGAGUACAGUGGCGCACGGGUGAGUAACACGUGAAUCAUCUACCUUCGAGUGGGGAAUAACUGAGAGAAAUCUUAGCUAAUACCGCAUAAUACCUACGGGUCAAAGCAGCAAUGCGCUUGAAGAGGAGUUCGCGCGCAGAUUAGUUAGUUGGCGGGGUAAUGGCCCACCAAGACGAUGAUCUGUAUCCGGCCUGAGAGGGCCCACGGACACACUGGGAACUGAAACACGGUCCAGACUCCUACGGGAGGCAGCAGUGGGGAAUUUUGCGCAAUGGGGGAAACCCUGACGCAGCAACGCCGCGUGGAGGAUGAAAUCCCUUGGGAUGUAAACUCCUUUCGAUCGGGAAGAUAAUGACGGUACCGAG
rnacentral:rRNA from 1 species